CGAAGGAUUCGAGCGUUAUCCGGAUUUAUUGGGUUUAAAGGGUGCGUAGGUGGACUAAUAAGUCAGUGGUGAAAGCCCGCAGCUUAACUGCGGAACUGCCAUUGAUACUGUUAGUCUUGAGUACAGUUGAGGUGGGCGGAAUGUGUCAUGUAGCGGUGAAAUGCUUAGAUAUGACACAGAACACCAAUUGCGAAGGCAGCUCACUAAGCUGUAACUGACACUGAGGCACGAAAGCGUGGGGAGCAAACAGGAUUAGAUACCCUGGUAGUCCACGCCCUAAACGAUGAUUACUCGAUGUUGGCGAUACACUGUCAGCGUCUAAGCGAAAGCAUUAAGUAAUCCACCUGGGGAGUACGACCGCAAGGUUG
rnacentral:rRNA from 1 species